UUAGCAGACUAAGAGAGAAUUAUUGAACAUUAUAAUGAUUAAUUAAAUGUUUAAAUAAUGCUCAUUUCCAAAAUUGCAUUUAUUAUUGGACUCCACAUGAGUAGCUUUGCAUGAUUCACAGUUCAAAAUAAUCCUGAUUUACCUUACACUGGCCUUUGUGGCAGCACCUCUGUUCAUUCCCUGAAUUCUGUGACACUGAAACAAAGGAUGCAAGUCUAGCGUCUAGUCCAUGUAGAGAAACCAACAUUUUUAACACUUUUACCCAACUUUACAUCUCUCAACCUUAUAAAAAAAAAGGCUUCGGUGGCAGAUUAAUCCCAAUCUCUACGUUUAUAUAAAAACAUGAGCUGUGCAUUAUAACUGAACCAAGAAAUGCAAUAAAAGAAUCAAAAGUAAUCAAGAAUUUCAUUUGAAAUUAUUCUGUAACUGAAUCUGUAUAACUGUGCGAGGUUUGUACAAAAUACUCAGAAAAAUCAUUCUUGUUUGAUUCCAGCUGCUGUUGAGACCAAGACAGAUAGAAGCUGCUGUUGAUGAAUCUCUGAUCCUACUUUUACAUAAUGAACUCUGCUGCCACAAGGCACAUUUGUCAGUUUUUGAAAUGCAGAGUAUGUUUCUGAUAUCAUGAUGGAUUGGAGCAUAUAAAGAGGUUUCAGCAGCUGACGUUGGACAGCUUAGUGACUUGAGUGUCAGUGGUUUUGUGGGUGUCAGUUCAGUGUGGGUACAGAACCAAAAGCUCUUCCGAAAAUACUUUCAGAUGGGAUUUUUUUUUUUUUUUUGACAAAGACGUGCAGCUGCCUUUGUCAUCUGGGCAUAUGUGCACUCAUGCAGAUGGGCAAGGCCGCCCCCACAUAUUACAUACACACACUUCUCCCAUUACUUGUCUGUUGUCUUUCCACAGCUCAUGUUCACCAGAUGCAGGAGAAAACAGAUGAGAGAGAGUAACAGAUAAAGUAAAAUAGGAGUAAGGCACGGCAGGGAGGGGAUGGAGAGCGCGGAGAAGAAACAGAUGUGUGUGCGUCUGAUGAUUCAAACCUGCAAGGUGAAGAAAAUAAGUAGGGAGGUGAAAGGGGACUAUCAGUCGGCGAUGAGGAGAAAGGAGUACAUGGGGAUCUGCCCAGCCCGGGAGCUGCCGCCAGUCCCCACUGAGGCCUUCCCCAAACCGCAGUCUCAAUCCAUGCUCAAGCCAUCUGCCAUUAUCUACUAGAAAUGCUGUCAAACCAAAAAUGAGGAUGUGGUCCCAGCUAGUGAAAGAAGAUGUUAUAGCCAAUAAAAAUUAGCAGAUCCUUGGAGCUCAAAUCCUGGUGAGUUCACCAAACACUCAGAUUUUUUUCCCUAAAUCAUGCAUCUCAUGUAUCUAUGCAUCUGAGAGCUUCUACAGAGCCUUUCAUAUGGCACUAGGUCAAACCAGAACACAGAAAAAGACAGGGAGCCUCCUCGAGAUAUCUAGAGAAUGCUGAACAUGGCUGACAAAUGAAGACACAGCUGCUUCAUCUGAGAGCUCCUAGUCUCUCAGGAACGUGGAGUUAUGAGGCCACUUACACACGACUAUGUUUGCUUAGUCUCUGACACGGAAAGACAACCAACAAGAGAAGUGGGAAGAGAGGGAGGAAGGAGGAAAAGGAAGGAGAUGGGCGAAAGGCCGAUGGUAAAGAACAAAGUUAUAAAAACGAUGGAUCCCAUUAAAAAGAGAAAAGAAGGUACGCUAGAAAGGUACUGGAAGUCAGCACAUGUAAUCACACUUAACUGCUUUCAAAGCAAACGAAAGCCAGACAGAGUCAGAGUCAUUGUCCCAUUGGCAGUAAUAUUAACAAUUUCAAACAUCAGCCCCUUUAUUAUAUAUAAUUUGUGACCACAGGGGUGUUUGGACUUUCUAUAAUACCUGCAAACUGCAACUUUCAUUUCUUUAAAUAAGUCAGAAGAGACUGUGCUUUAGUAUAGUUUCAGUAUGAUCUCUUCAAGCUUUCUCGGGAAAAUAAAAAGGUGAGCUAAAACAGCCAAACAGACUUUCAGCUGACUUUUUAGUGCAGCCUUCUUUGUAGAUAUUAUUUUCAUUUUUUUGUAACUCAUGUUACUCAUUUGGAGACAGAUUUCUGCAACAAAAAUACAGUUUUGUCUCAUAAAUGUAAAAUCCAAUGUGUUUUUGUCUGUUCUAUUGAUUCACUGCAGAUCACAAUUUUUUUUAUUGACCUUUUGCCAACAGCUUAUCUACAAAAGAGAAAAACAAGCUGAUAAAAUGAAAAAUUAUGCUAUUAAUGAUAUUACCUCUCUAGAUGGGAUGCAUGUUUAUCUGAUGGUAUAUUUGUUGUGAAUUAAUUUGCCAGAUUUUAAGUAAUAGGUUUAUUUGGUUUAUCAAAUGUCAACUCUCAAAGAUGAUAUAUUCAAAAUGUUUUGAAUAGACAGACCAACUGUCCACAGACAUAUUCAUACUAUCACAGAACAAGCUGUAAAGUUAAAUAUCAGAGAAGCUGGAUUCAGUAGUUGGUUGCUUAAAAACAGUUAUUUUUCUGUGUUCUUGUGCUUUAAUGUGAAACAAUUUUUGUUAUCUAUUGAUUUUUUUUUUUUUUUUUUUUUUGCAAAGAAAACAAAUUGUAGCUUCUUGAUGGGUCUAGAAAGAUCAACACACACUCAUACAGACAAGAAUGCACACACUUCAAACUUCAACCAAAGGGUGUCAAUCAUUGCUCUUGGUUGGUGGCCUUAUGGUGUCCAUCUCCAGACUAAACCACCCACACAACUCAUUCAGACACUCUCACAACAAAACACUUGAAACAGCUGGGCAAGCUAAACCUGUAUCAGUGAAGGCAAGAAGCUCAUUGGAGACAGGGGUUUUCUUUGAAGUUGUGUCGCUCGGUCUGUGUGCCAAUCCUUUUGUGGCCUGAAGAAGAUUUACAGCUUGUCCUGCUCACCUCUGCUUUCCUACAGCUGCUUCAACACUGUCUGCUGGUGACAGCCACACAGCUCAUAAAGGCUCCCAUAAACGCCAAAAAUAUCACCUUGCUAAUUUAGUAAGUGGAAUGGCUCAUCCAAUAAUGCAUACAGUAAAGGUUUGCUUGGUUAGCAUAACCUAUACAUGUGUUAUUUUUACUUAGUUUUUUACAGCUGCAACAAUUAGAUGUCUUUGUUUCUUUUUUUUUCAAUACAUUAAUGUUCCAAUACAAGAAGUUGAAAUGAUAAGAAACCAAGUUUUGUUUUCUGAAAAUGUGAGCAUGUUGACAAAUGCUAUGACCACCUUCCCCAUAGUAAUAGAGGGAAACCUGAGUGUUAGACUAGGGCCUAAAGCACAAUUAAGAAGUGAACUGGCACCCCCUGCUGGCCACCUGAUCAGAGCCGUACCAGCAAGACACCUGUUUAAAGGUGAUAAACAACAUUAUUAUUUUUUCUAAUAAAAUAUUUGAUUUACAGAUAUAAAAGUAACAAAAGCAUGUUCCAUGUCAAGUUGUUCCUACUCCUUAUAAAUCUGACCUGGCAGAAAUGCUGGGUUCAUGGCUGACUGUAAAUUAUUAGUUAAAUGGCAUAACUGAUUGAUUACUGCAGUUAUUGUCAGCAUCUGGACAUUUAUUAAUAUGUAAAGCAAGUACAUUUAAAUAAAUAAUACAUUGAAACUAACCAUAGAAAUUUGUGUUAUCCAUAAUUAAAUUAUUCGUGUAAUCUGUAUUUAGUUGACAAAGGAAGGAGUGCCCCAUUAUUUAAUACACCAGUAAUAAACCAUUAAUUAAGAUAUUUUAUUACAAAAUCUUUUAUGUGAUACAAAUUAAAUGUUGUUGAGUUCUGGACUGCUGUUUGGACAAACUAUUCAAUGUGCAGUUCACCUUGUGGAAAAUUGCUAUUAACCAGUUCUUUAGAAGUAUGACCUUCAGGGCUGCGUAUACUUUCUUUUUUCCCAAGGUAUUUUCUAAAUAUAAAAUUUUCUAAUUUUCUAAAGUUAAUAUCUUCAAAUAUGUUGAAAAAAUAAUUUCACAGCAGAAAAAGAAAUGAAAGAAAACUAAAAUGAGCGUUCAUAGAGGAAAUAUACCACACUGACAUGAUGCACAUUGACAUGGAUGGCAACAAAUCUAUUGCUCAUCCUAAACUGUGCUGACAGCAAAACCCCGCUGUACCACACAACCACAUAUAAAUUAUUUAUUUGCAUUAUUUAACAGCUGGCUGAAUAAUUUUCCUCCCCUGCUGCUUUCCUUUCCGCCGCACCCCUGCCUACCCAGAUUUUAGGGCAAUUUAGAGCCCACAUUUAUUUCUAUUUGGAAAAAAAGAUCUCACUGCAUCCAGUCUAAAUCACUGCAACAACUGAGCAGUAGUUAAAGGCCAUUAUUUAUGUAGAUCUCGGGAAGCCCGGUUGAAACUAGAGUACCUGUCACCCACAGCUAAAAGGGAAAUAUCGAAAGUUUGAGGACCAAAGAAUUAAUGUCACUAUUACACAACUCUAACUACCUUUUCUGGCUCUGCACUAGAAAAAUAACUUCCAUAGUUCCCUGCUGUGAUCAGGCAGUCGCUUCCUUUUAAACACCAAGGAGUCAUCUCGUCAAAUAUUUCCACACCAUGUCACCUUGAAACAAUCUCUUCCCACUCUGCUUUCUGCUCCAAAGUUUCCAUUAAACUCUUGGCUUCCUCCUUUCAUUACAUUUUAUUUAUUUUCUGAGCUCUUAAAUGAUUAUACUGAGGUCAUGGGAAUACUGUAAGAGAAAUAUUUCCUUGGGUUUUGGUACUGCUUAAACUGUUUUCCUGUAAAAGCACUUCCAGUAUGUAACGUAGACUGUAGAAUUAGAGUUCAAACUUCUGUCAGCAAUUCCCUGAGAGCCGCCACCAUAAAUUAUGCUAGCCACAAUCCAGAACAAUAGAGCUUCAGCCAUCCUUUGAUGCUUGUGUAAGAUGGGAAAUAUAACCAACUUGGAGAAAAUGCACUCACUGGCUACGUUACUAGAUAAACCUUGUUAUUAGAAGGUUGGACUCCUUUUUACCUUCAGAACUGCCUGAAUUAUUCAUGACAUUGACUCAACUGGGUGCUGAAAACAUUCCUCAGAGCUUUUGGUUGAUUUGGACAUGAUAACCUCACCCAGUUGCUGCAGAUUUGUCAGCUGCACAUCCAGCAUAUGAAUCUGUUCCACAGCAUCCCAAAGGUGCUCUAUGGGAUUGAGCAACAAUACUCAGGUAGGUUUUGGUGAUUGAUGCUCAAUUGGUACUAAGAGGCCCAAAGUGUACCAAGGGACUAUGCCCCACAUCAUUACACAACCACCAUCAGUCUGAAUCAUCGAUGCAAUGCAGGAUGGAUCCACCAUCAUUUUGUACAUAUUGCAACAUAAAUUGCGACUCAUCAAACAAAGCAGCAUUUUUACAAAUCUCUAAAUUCCAAUUUUGGUGAGCCUGUGCAAAUUUUAACCUCAGUUUCUGGUUCUUAGCUCACUUCAGAUGCUGUAUCUGCCACAAGGUUUGACACGUUGUGCAUUCAGACUAUUGUGCAUGCAUACCUUGCUAUAAAGAGUGGUUAUUUUGAGUUAUUGUUGCUUUCCUAUCAGCUUGAAGCAGCCUGGCUAUUCUCCUCUGACCUCUGGCAUACACAAGGCAUUUUUACCCAGAGAACUGCUGCUCACUAUUUUCUGUUAUUUUGGACCAUUCUAUGUAAACUCAAUUGUUGUGUAGGAAAAUCCCAGUAGAUCAGCAGUUUCUGAAAUACUCUGACCAGCCUGUCUGGCACCAACAACCUAUGCCACAUUUAAAGUCACUUACAGUCCAUAAUUUGCUGAAAAAGACAAUUUUUAUAGUUUUGCCCCUGUACACCACCACAGUGGUAUUUAAAAUCAAUCAAUGUUGACUGGAGUACAUUCAUUCAGCUCAGAGUUUUGCUUUGGGUGUUUGUUUGUUUUUUGUUCUAUGUAGCAAUUCAAGCCAUUUUUAUACAUAGUCCCACAAUUUUAUGGAGAGGUGAAAUCUCUUCCGUUGUCAUUUAUGACUAAUGAAGUUGAUUCAAACUGUUUAACUUCUAUAUUAUAGCUUUCCACUGUAAUUUUAACUAUAGGGCCUAAAGAGAUCUCAGUGCAACGAUUUUAUUCUUUAAAAGCAUGAAUGCACAGAACAGAGCUAAAGUGCACGAUGAUAAAAUAAUUUCCUUGGUAAAUAUAAACAACUUUUCAGCAUCAAACCACCUUAAACAAUAUCAUCAAGGAGACCGGCUUAUCAUUGUUAAGGUUUACAAUCACGAGAUGCCUUCAUGAAUGAACAUACAGAGUGGUUACAACAAGGUGCACAGCACUGGUUACACUCCUGAACAGGAAAACCAGUUUAGACUUCUAGACAUCUAAAAGAGCCUGCACAGUCCUGGAAAAAUAUUAUUUGGUCAGAUGAAACCAAGAUGUGGAUAGCAUGUCACAGUGCAAAUGGAUAAUGAGCCAAAGUAUAAUCCAAAAACAAGUGAAGAGUUUCUCAUGGCGAAGAAAUUGGAUAUUCUUCGAUAGCACUUGAUCUCAGUGCAAUAGCUCUUCAGUCCUUAAAUACAAAACUAAAUGCAAAAAAAGAAAAACACAGCAACUGAAAGCGACUGCAACAAGGUCUGGCAGACCAUCUCAAGAGAGGAAACACAUCAUUUUUAUGAUGUCCAUGGAUUCUAAACUUCAGGGAGUCAUUGACUGCAAAUGAUUUUUGAUAAAGGUAUUCAAAACAAUCCUUACAAUUAAAUUAUACAUUAUAAAUUAUAUUUGCCUGUCCAAACAUGAGCCACUAAAUGUCAUGUAAAAAUGCAAAAUUUUUGUAAAACCCCUUUAAUAAAGAUGAAACUCUGCCUUUGAUUGUGUGAUUUAAAUCUACUGUGGUGGGUGUUCAGAGGCAAAACUACAAAGAUUAUGUCUGCCUAACUGUAAAUGACCUUUUUCCCCCUAUUCUGAUGCUCUGUUUGAACUUCAGCAGGUCUUCUCAGCCAUGUCUACAUGCCUUAAUGCAGAGUUGCUACUAUGUGAGUGACUGAUUAUACUUUUUGUAUUAACAAACAAUGGAACAAGUGUACCUAAUAAAGUGACCUUCCGUGUAAAUGGAUCUGCAACAUUACAUGAGUUAACAUUAACAUCGAUUACGUGUACGUUCAUGUAAACUUGAUGGAAGAAAAUCUUUUGCUUUGGUACUUUGAAUGCAGCACUAAUUCCCGCCACAGCCAGUCACUAUAUGAACAAUUGUUUUAGGCCUAUGAGUCAUCUAUCCUUCGUGCCAACAUCCAUGGCACACCUGUUGCUCCAGUUUUAAAAAUCCCACAUCCUGUGAAAAUUAGACAUAACAUUUAAAAAAGCAUGCAUAAAUCCUUACACAAAAACGCAAACAAACAAAGCCCAAACAAAACUGGGGUCUCAAAAUUGCUAUGUUGGUAACCAUCAAAUUGCAAGGUGACUUAGUUUAGUUUAUACAGCUAUAAAAACAUA
ensembl:lncRNA